rnacentral:rRNA from 1 species
AACCUGGUUGAUCCUGCCAGUAGUCAUAUGCUUGUCUUAAGGAUUAAGCCAUGCAAGUCUAAGUAUAAGUGUUUCACAGCGAAACUGCGAAUGGCUCAUUAAAACAGUUAUAGUUUAUUUGAUAAUCAAUAUAUGGAUAACUUUAGGAAAUCUAGAGCUAAUACAUGCUUAACGCCGGACGACUUGUUCCGAAGGCCGUAUUUAUUAGAUAUAAACCUUUCGUGUUUUCACGUUUAGAUGAUUCAUAAUAACUUCUCUGACCUCGCUUCCGGUGAGGUAAAUCAUUCAAGUUUCUGCCCUAUCAGCUUUAGAUGGUAGUGUAUUGGACUACCAUGGCGAUCACGGGUAACGGAGAAUUAGGGUUCGAUUCCGGAGAGGGAGCCUGAGAAACGGCUACCACUUCUAUGGAAGGCAGCAGGCGCGUAAAUUACCCAAUCCUGACUAAGGGAGGUAGUGACAAGAAAUAUCGAAUCGGGUGUAUAUACAUUCCGAGUUUGAAAUGAGAACAAUUUAAAAAACUUAACGAGGAGCGAUUGGAGGGCAAGUCUGGUGCCAGCAGCCGCGGUAAUUCCAGCUCCGAUAGC